GAUCGAGUGCUUCGCUUUGCAGCACUGUCCCUAUUUCAAAUAACUCAUAUCGAUAGCAACAUGUCAUCAAUGUUUUCCGUACAUCUCUAGCUGCGAGACAGACACGAAUUAAAAAAAUUAAGGCGAUCGAAUAGCGUUUAAAUUAAACAAAAUUAAGUGUUGAAAUUAAGUUUCGAACAAAUUAAAACAAAAAAAAACUCAAGCUGAGCAACCAAAAUUCUCAGUAAACGUGCAGCGUGUGAACACAAAUAAAGAAAUUUCUUUCUGAGAGUGCAUGUGUGUGCGUGUGUCUUUGUUUGUGUGUGUGUUGGCUGCUGUCUAUGUGUGUGUACGUACGUGAGAUUCAUUCAUUCCCAUUACGUGUGUGAUUUGGAACAGGGUAAAAGUUAACCAAAUACGAGUAGAAAAGCAAAAAGCAACAAGCUAAUCCAUGACUUGUACAAUUUGUUGUGGCUUAAAUUGUCGAAAUAGGUGCUAGCAAUGUAGAAUUGCUGUUGGCCCCUACGAAAGGGGGAGGAGGGGCCAUGAUAUAAAAACAAAAAAAAAAAACAAACAAACAAAAAAACAUUAAAACAAAUUCAUAUACUAAAUAUUAAUAUUUGCGCCGCAAAUUAAAAGCAAAAAUAUACUUAAAAAUUUCAAGAAGAAGCAGCAACGAAUAAAUACGUCAAAAAAUACCAAUACAAAGGCAAAUUGGAAUUUCAACGUGUGUGUUGUGUUCAACAGAACAAAUUAAAAGCUCAGUCGUCAAAAAGUGCCAAAAGAGUCGACAACAACAAUAAGAAAAAGAAAACGAAAAAUAACCAACGACAACAACAAAUAAUUUGAUACGUAGAAUUAUGAACGUAGAGCAGCAAUUGAAGACACCGCUAACGCAGAUACGUAAUUUGGUCAAGCACGUGAACAAACGAAAUUUUAAUGAGAGCAGCGAGCAAAUCAAGCAGUUUAUACAAGAAUACGGCCUCGAAGCGGAUCGUAGCUGUCUGCGUUAUCUGUUUACGGUAUUAAACUUGCAGGAUUCGGCUCCGAACGUUGCUUCCCAGCUGCAGGCGAAGCUGCUUGGAGCCCAUUUGCAGCGUCAACUGCAGAGCUCGUCGUUUGUGACCAACAUUUGCAUUGCCUUCGAUCAGCACUUUGCCAAACAAAAGGGCUUGAAGCCGUUUGCUCUUGCCGAGCUCAUUGGACAGGUUGCCAAGUUAACCGGCAUUAACAAACUUUGCGAGUGCAUAUUUGCGCUAGCGGUAACUCACAGCUCUCAUCCGGAGCUACGUCAGUGUGCACGUGAGAGUCUCCGGCAUCUAUUACCCGAUCUGCUUGAUUCGUAUUUGGGUCAAAACGCCGCUGCCAGUGGAUUGCACGAGAUCUCAUUUGAUCUGUUGCAGUAUUUGUUGUGUUGCCUCAACGAAUACGUAUCACCGCAGUUGGAGACGCAGUUUCUGAAUAAGUUGCGGGACGAAUUUCCGCGGGAAGCGGUGCCAUUGGUUCUAGCGCCGAUUUUAUAUCGCAGCGCCGUAACGACGACGACGACUACAACGACGUCCAGCUCCAAAUCCAACGAAACUGAUGCAGAGGAAGAAACGACGACCACGAACACGAAUACGAAUACGACGAACACGAGCAGCAGUUGGAGCAGCUCCGAUGCAGAUAAUCUGAAUGAAGUUGGCAUUGAGGAUAUCUAUGACCAUUUAUGCGAGAUAAUAUUUACAAAACAGGGCAAAAAUAAUAUUAUGGACACAUCUUGGAUUAAUUUAAUCCUUGAAAUCGGUUAUGAAUUUACAUCGAGUGUUGAAGAGUGCAAGAAUCAUUUGUGUUGCGGCGGCGCCUCCCGCGAAGUCCAGCCCAAGGAUGUGGCCAAGAUUAUUGGACUCAUGUGUCGACGACACUCGUCGCUCCUCGAUUGCAAUGUAAAUCUACCGACACCAGCCAACUUUUGGCCUGGCCAAGGACAGCAAGGUGGCAAUGGUUCGGCUUCUGCUUCACAAUCCGCACAACAACAGCAAAGCUCGAACAACAACAACAACGAUGGCAGCAGCGAAUCUAGCAGCUCGGCCAGCGACAAGAAGGACAACAAAAAGGAGACGACAGAUGCAACACAAACAUGGAAGCCAGAUGUCUUUGUGCAGGCCCUCAAGGAGCUGGUGCCACAGCUCAACUGGAAGGAUGUCUGCAUGGAGUUGGAUCAUCCCGAGUUUGUUUUAAAGGAUCGCAUCGGUUUGGAUCUGCUACUGACGAUCUUAAGAUUGGCCACGCAAUCGAAUCUGUUUCCACAACCGGAAUGCAUUUAUCGCCAUUGGGCGAACACCGAAGGGCAGCUAUCGUUGAUAACGAUAAUGCUGAAGAAUCCCGAUUUGUUCAGCUUUGCCGACUACGUUUUCAGUCAACCGACAUUGGAUGUGCUGAAAACGCCACCUGAUGCAGAUAAUAAAGAGAUUGCGGCAUGGAAAUCAUUACAUUUGGUUGAAGUUCUGCUUUCCAUUGCGGAUAAAGGUUAUUUUAGUCAAGUGCACGAACUGUUCAAAUUCCCAGCACAGAAUUGUCCCGAUGUUUUGUUUCUGGCAUUGCUGCAUAUAAGUCCGCCAUUGACACCACUCAGACAGGAUCUAUUCAAUCAGUUGAUACCCACAUUCUUGGGCAAUCAUCCCAAUUCGAAUGUGAUCUUGGCCAGCGCCUGGAGCUCAACCAAUUUCCAGCUAAGACCGAGCAUUAUGAACGCCAUGUCCGAAUGGUAUUUGCGUGGCAGCGAAUUUGAUCAAGUGAAAUUGUCACGCAUUUUGGACUUGGCUCAGGAUUUGAAGGCAUUAUCCUCAUUGCUCAAUGCUCGCUCCUUUAUGUUCAUCAUUGAUCUGGCCUGCUUGGCCUCGCGUCGCGAAUACUUGAAGCUGGAGAAAUGGCUGAGUGACAAGAUACGCGAACAUGGCGAACCCUUCAUUCAGGCCAUGAUCAAAGUGCUGCAACGUCGCUGUCCUCAGGUGACCAACGCCAAGUUGCCCGAGGAUCAGUUGCCGCCGAAGCAAGCGCAAUUGUUGCCGGAAACGGUGACGACGAUGAUCAGCUGUUUGCAGGCGUGCAUCAACAGUUGCAUGCAGCCGGAAAUAGCCGAAAUGAUAAUGCAAAUGGUGGCCAAUGUGGCCAUAAAAGCACGAGCGGCACAGCAGCAGCAGCAACAACAACAACAACAACAACAGCAGCAGCAACAACAACAACAACCACAAGGAUUGGUGCCACCACCGCCGAGCAUUAUGCGUGGACAUCGUGGCAUGGAUCUGCCAGGCGGUGGCAUUGGGCCCGGCUCCGUGCCACCUCCGCCGCAGCCACAGCAACCCUUCUCCGGCAACCUAAAUGCACAGCAAAUGUUUGGACCCGGCGGCAUGGAUCCGUUAACCAACAUGUCCAACAAUCUGGCUGGCCUCAAUCUAGGCGGUCCAAAUGGCGCCUUUAACUUUGGCAACAUGCUGACAUCUCCGUCACGUCUUAUGAAUCCCGGCGCAAACCCGUAUCCGCCCAUUCCCCUACAGAUCCCAGCACCACCGCCACCAAAUGUGGGCAAUCUGGGACGUAUGCUGCCAACGGGAGGACCGGGACCGGGACCAGGAGGACCACAACCAACACAAGCAACGCCUCCAAAUCAACCGAAUAGUUCAGUGAUGGCCGAUCUACAGAUGCCCGUGUCCAAGGAGGUAGAGGAUGAGGCAAAUUCAUACUUUCAGCGGAUCUACAAUCAUCAACCCAAUCCGACGCUUUCCAUUGAUGAAGUGCUGGAUAUAUUGCAACGCUUUAAGGAAUCCAGCAAUCGACGGGAACAAGAAGUCUUCCUUUGUAUGCUGCGUAAUCUAUUUGAGGAAUAUCGCUUCUUUGCCCACUAUCCUGAAAAGGAGUUGCAAAUAACAGCUCAACUCUUUGGCGGCAUCAUUGAUCGCAAUCUAGUGCCCACAUUUGUGGCAUUGGGACUCUCAUUGCGUUGUGUACUCGACGCUCUGCGCAAACCCGAUGGAUCCAAGCUCUAUUACUUUGGCGUGACGGCCCUGGAUCGCUUCAAGACACGUCUACAUACCUAUAACAAAUACUGCGAACAUAUACGCUCCAUACCGCACUUUACAGACUUCCCCCAGCAUCUGAUCCAGUAUGUGGAGUAUGGCAUGCAUGGCCAGGAGCCACCGCAACAGAAACUCAUUGGUCUGAGCAAUACAAUACCACCAGCAAUUGCUCAAGGAGCAGCUGAGCCUUUGUACCGUGCCAAUUCCAUGCCCGGCGCCAUGUCAGCUGCCUCCAAUGUCCAGAAACCUGCUGUUGUGGUUUCGCAUGCGACGAGAAUGAAAUCAAUUGCGAAUGCGACCAACAUAGAUACAUUGCUGGUGGCAAACCAGGAGGAGAAGGUAACAGUGCCGCCGGAACCGGUGCAGGACAAGACGGCGUUCAUAUUCAACAAUCUGAGCCAGUUGAAUAUACCGCAGAAAUGUGAGGAGAUCAAGGAGAUAAUGACCAAGGAGUAUUGGCCCUGGUUGGCACAAUAUUUGGUAUUGAAACGCGCCUCCAUGGAAUUCAAUUUCCAUACACUCUACUACAACUUUUUGGAUGCCCUCAAGAAUAGCGAAAUCAAUAGAUAUGUGACCAAGGAAACAUUGCGCAACAUUAAAGUGUUGUUGCGUUCCGAUAAGGGUGUCAUUAAUUUCUCGGAUCGCAGUCUCUUGAAGAAUCUUGGCCAUUGGCUGGGCAUGAUGACACUGGGACGUAAUCGACCCAUUUUGCAAUUGGAUUUGGAUUUGAAAUCCUUGCUGGCCGAGGCAUAUCACAAGGGGCAACAGGAGUUGUUGUUUGUGGUGCCGUUUGUGGCUAAAAUCUUGGAAUCUUCCGCUAAAUCGCGUAUAUUUAAAUCGCCCAAUCCCUGGACCAUGGGCAUUAUGUUUGUUCUAGGAGAAUUGCAUCAGGAACCAGAUUUAAAGCUCAAUUUAAAGUUUGAAAUUGAAGUGUUGUGUAAAACAUUAAAUUUAGAGCUGGAUAAAUUGAAGCCGGUUAUAUACUUGAAGGAUCCAACGCGUGCGUUGACUAUAGAACAACAAAUGUCACAGCCAAAGUCAAAGAUAUUGGAGGGAAGCGCAGCACAACAACAACAACAACAGCAGCAGCAGCAGCAACAACAACAACAGUUGCAGGCACAGCAACAGCAACAACAGUUGCAACCGCAGCAGCAGCAGCAACAACAACAACAGUUGCAGGCGCAGCAGCAACAGCAACAACAACAAUUACAAACUGUUGCACCUCCCGUUUCGGCUGCCAACUCAGCCGCCAAUUCAGCUGCUGAAGUUGAUGCCGCCAUGUUAAUGAACAACUCUAAUAACGGUGGUGGUGGUGGAGGAGGAGGAGCUGUUGCCUCUCCCAAUCUUCCCACAGAUGCCAGUCAGGUGGUUUUACCGCCACCGGAGCCACGUUAUUCCUAUGUGGAGGUGAAUGUGUCCAAUUUCCAGUUGAUUGCCCAGCAAUUACAAUUGCCAGCGAAUAUACCAUUCUUGCAUGCCAAUCCGGGUAUUAAACACAUUGUGGUGAAUGCCAUUGAACGCACUAUAACCGAUUGGCUGCAACCUGUUGUGGAUAGAAGCAUUCGGAUUGCUUGUGCCACCACCGAACAGAUUAUACGCAAAGAUUUCGCCUUGGAUGCGGAUGAGAAUCGCAUGAGAACGGCAGCACAUCAAAUGGUACGCAAUCUGGCCGCUGGCAUGGCCAUGAUAACGGGCAAGGAUGAGAUUGCACGUGCUAUCAGUCAGAAUCUGCACAAGGCUUUUAUGGCCGCCUUAACGGGAGUGCCCAGCAUGGCGGAUAUACAAGCAGCCUCCGUGCAAUUGGCCAAUGAGAAUGUGGAACUGGUCUGUGCAUUUAUACAGAAAACAUCGGCAGAGAAAUCCGCACUAGAAAUUGAUCGACGUCUGUCCACGGACUUUGAGACGCGUAAGAUUGCCCGGGAGGAGGGUAGUCGCUUUGUGGAUGCCCAAAUCUUGAGCUAUCAGCAGGAACGUCUGCCGGAGCCAGUGCGUCUCAAGGUCGGACCAGCACCGCCCACUUUAUAUGCCGUCUAUUCGGAGUUUGCCCGCAGUAUUCCCGGUUUCCAGCAGAUGAGCGAUCGUGAUAUCGCUCUCUUUGUGCCGAAGCCACAGGAUCUGCAGAUACCGAAUGUGUUUGCCAACGAUGAGAGCAGCAUGGUCUAUGCCGAGGUGGCCAGCAAAAUGGAAGCGUUCAUGAACACGGCCAUCAAUAUGCCCACUCUACAGCUGCAGGCCAGCAAGAUGCACAUGCUCCUGGCUGCUUUGAUGGCUACACGUCGUUUGCGGGAUCAGGAAUCGGCCUUCAAUCUGUUGACACGUGCCGUGGAGGGUUUAACCGAGGGAUUGAUCAAUGUGCAGGAUCAUCUGGAGCAAAUGAAGCUUUACAGGGACAUCCAUCUGCGCAUUCUCAGUCUGCUGCACAACAGCUUUGGAGCACCCAACACUGAGCGAGCGGUGACCAAAUGCUUCUUUGAUAUUCGCGAGGAAGUGCGCUAUAAUGUGGAGGCGGCUCGAGCUCUGAUCACAUCGCAUUUUGUGAACCUCAACCAAUUUGAUGGCAUGUUGAGGGAUUGCAUGGAUAAUGGCAAUAACUAUGUGGCCAUAUCCUUUGGCAUUGCUCUCCUCGAGCGUUUGAUUAUGGAGGAUCGUGCUAUCAAUAUUGUAUCUGAUAAUGAAUUCAUGGCCACCGUAGAACUACUGGGUCGUCUCACACAGCAUCGUCAUCGCUAUCCCGAGUGCAUUGUGAAUGCCAUCGAGACUCUCUGGUCCGGCAAUCUCAAUGCCAGCGACUAUGGUCCAUUCAAUCCCGGCGAGCGUUAUCUCGCCGGCACAUCGCACUACAUUCACUCCGGCAUGCAUCACGUUAGGUCAUGCGACACAGAUGAUCCACCAGGAUUGCAGGAGAAGACGGAGUUCCUGCUCAAGGAUUGGGUUGCCCUCUACACCCAACAGAAUCAGCAGACGACACGCGAUGCCCGCCACUUUGGGGCCUUUGUCCAGAAGAUGAACACGUAUGGGAUUCUAAAGACGGAUGAUUUGAUCACACGCUUCUUCCGUCAGGCGACGCACAUUUGCACGGAUGUUGUGUAUCGCAUGUUUGCGGAGCCAAGUCUGCCAAUUAAUCAGGCCAAGAAUAAGAUAUUCCAAUGGAUCGAUGCGUUUGUGCAUUUGAUUGCGAUGCUUGUCCGGCAUUCCGGUGAGGCGGGAAAUCCGACGACCAAGAUCAACCUGUUAAACAAAGUGCUGGGCAUUGUGUUGGGCACAUUGCUCAAGGAUCACGAGAUGCGUGGCGUGGGAUUCCAGCAGGUGGGAUAUCAUCGCUUCUUUAUGAUGCUGUUCAUGGAAUUGUGCUCGGCGGAUGUGAAUCUGGAGUCCUUGAUGCACAGCAUCGUGUCGGCCUUUGCCUACACAUAUCAUCUGCUCAAUCCGAGUGUUGCGCCGGGCUUUUGCUUUGCCUGGCUGGAAUUGAUUUCACAUCGCGUCUUUCUGGGUCGCAUUCUGGUGCAGAUACCUGGACAAAAGGGUUGGCCAUUGUAUUCCCAACUGCUGCAGGAUCUCUUUAAGUAUUUGGCUCCAUUCUUGCGCAAUACAGAGCUCGGAAGACCCGUUCAGAUGCUCUAUAAGGGCACUCUGCGCGUUUUACUGGUGUUGCUACAUGAUUUCCCAGAAUUCCUGUGCGAUUAUCACUUUGGUUUCUGCGAUACCAUACCGCCAAAUUGCGUCCAGAUGCGUAACAUUAUACUAUCCGCAUUUCCACGUAAUAUGCGUUUGCCGGAUCCGUUUACGCCCAAUCUGAAAGUGGACAUGUUGUCGGACAGCAGCAAUGCGCCCAAAGUCUGCAGCAGUUACAUCAUGAACAUACAGCCGCCCAACUUUAAAAAGGAUCUCGACUCGUACUUGAAGGCCCGUGCUCCGGUCACAUUCCUCUCGGAGCUGCGGGGUCAUCUGCAGGUGACCAGCGAGCCCGGAACUCGAUACAACAUGACCCUCAUGAAUGCCCUGGUCAUGUACGUGGGCACCCAGGCCAUUGCUUUGAUCAGGAACAAGAACUUUGUGCCGAACACAUCGAACAUUGCCCACAGUGCUCACAUGGACAUCUUCCAGAAUCUGGCCGUUGAUCUGGACACCGAGGGUCGCUAUCUGUUCCUCAAUGCGAUUGCCAAUCAGUUGCGUUAUCCCAACUCACACACACACUACUUUAGCUGUGCGGUGCUCCAUCUGUUUGCCGAAGCGAAUUCGGAGGCAAUUCAGGAGCAGAUUACACGUGUGCUUCUCGAGCGCCUCAUUGUGAAUCGGCCACAUCCUUGGGGACUCUUGAUCACAUUCAUUGAGCUCAUCAAGAAUCCCAUUUACAAAUUCUGGGAGCAUGAUUUUGUGCACUGUGCACCCGAAAUUACCAAAUAUUUUGGUGAAUGUCUGAUUGUAUUUAAUCGAUUUGAACCAUUGAACGGCAUUCAGUGUGCAGCAUAGCAAGAGCAUUAUUAAUAAUAGUAAUUAUAAUGAUAAUGAUCAAAAUCGAAUCUAUUCAUUUUGCAUGUAUCCAACAAAUACCAAAAUUUUUAUUCAUUAUUGAUUUUCGCAAAACUUUAAUUCACAAUGACCAAAUAUCGAAUAUAUAUAUAUAGAUAUAUGAAAAUAAUGUGUAAAUAUAUGCAUAAAUAUUGUUAUUUGAAUCCGUGGCAAGAUCCUGCCUGGCCAAAUCGAAUGUUAAUCAGCAGCUGAAUAUGGCCGUUGAUGGCGAGAAUCAGGAAGUUGUCAAUAUUAACUGAUAAGAUAACCUGGAGCAACAACCACAACAGCAACAACAGUAGCAGCAAUGGCAACAAACAUAAAAUCAAUUAUAUAUAUAUAAUAUACUAACAAAAUGUGUUUAGUUUUUAGUAAAUCGUUUUAAGCAAAUAAUGAAACAAUGAAAAUACGCUGAGCAAACCGAAAAAUCGAAAAAAAAAAAAGAAAACAAAACAAAGAAAAAACUGUUAAAUACGAUAAAAUUUAAACUGUAUUUAGUAGUAAUUGUUUUGAGAUAUGAUAUAAUAUGAUAAUCGAAAAAAAUGAGAACAUUUUAAAAUGCCCGCAAAUGUUAAAACAAAUUUUUAAUUGAGUUGUAUUAUAAUUAUAAAUGAAAUUCCUGUAUUUACCUGUGGUUUUAUACCGGUUCACAAUGCAACUAAAGUAAAAAAGAAAAAAACACACACAACAAAAAAAAAACUAUCUUAGAAAUUAAUAAAAAAAAAAAUACAAAAAAAAAACACUUGAAAAAAUGUGGAACAAAAAAACUGUAAAAUGUACUCGAAAAUGCAAAAAACUAACAAAUGCGAUGUAAAUAUGUAUGUAGUUGUUGUUGCUAUUGAUAAACCACAAAAAAUAAAAACUGAUAAUAAUAAAGGCAGCAACAUUAUUAUUAAUGAAAAGACAUGGCAGCAACAACAAGCACAUAUAAUUUAAAAUAUAUAUAUAUGUUUGCACAUAUAACUAAAAAACAUGCUUAAUUAAUUCUCAUCAGUUAUGUGUAUUUCUUAUUGUUUCAAACCAAUAUCAAGUCAAUAAUAAUUCAAAGAAGAGCUGUUUAAUUUUAUAGAUCAUCUUUUUUGCUAAAAAGUAAAUGCAUCUAGAUCUUAUAUUCUCGCCAAUUAAUUUUUAAACUGUUUAAAAAUUAUCUUUAAAGUUAUAUACAAUACAUAUAUAUAUAUACAUAAUAAAUGCAACUUAAUUUUUUACUAUUAUUAACUAAAGAAAUGAUAAUGAAAACGAUACACAAAUGAUUGCAUUAAAACUCAUACCUUGUUAUUUGCAUUGGAUCAGAAUCGGAGAUGUAUAAAUAUAUAUAUAUAUAUAAAUGCAUAGAAAGAAAGUACAUAAAUCUAUAUAUAUUAUAAAAGAAAUGUAAUACGUAAAUGUAAAGCGUUUAUAUGAUGGAUUAAGAUUGAUGAUUGAUUGAUUAAGAAGCAACAAGUUUAUUUUAAACCUUAAAAUUUCUAUGUUUAAACUAUUUUAAAAGUUAAUUAAAUGUUAUUAGCAAUCAACACUGCAACAACAGCAACAUUAGUUUAUACACACACACACACACAUUAAAUGUAUUUAAAUGUAUCUGAAAUUGAUGUGAAAUAAUAUGUGAAGCAGACUAACCCAAACAUACACACACACACACACACAUACAAUACCAACUCAUUUAUAGACUAAUUGAAUUAUGCAGCCAGAACAACAACAACAACAACCACAUUUGAUAUCAUCAAUUGCAGUUACAAUGAUAUCAAAACUCAAUAAAAAAGUGGUAACAAUUUCCGAUUCUUAUGUAAAAAACACAGUAAAAAAAGAUGAAAAGCGUGAAAUAUAUAAUAAAUAUAUAAAUAUAUGAUAAUCCAUUACAAUCGAAAUAAGUAACAUUAUGCAAUAAGAGAAAUAAUAUUAAAUAUAUGUAUAAAUGGCAAAAUUUUA